rnacentral:rRNA from 1 species
AUGAAAACCAUGCAGCCACUCCAGCUUUCACGCAUGAGAUACGACAGAAAACUACCGAUAAGUUCCCUUGGCAUUGUUCUUCUGAUGCUCAUGUCCUUGGCCUCUAUCACUAGCUCCUGCACAGAGCAAGAGAAGGCCUCCCUCCUCAAGUUCCUCACUGGGCUCUCACAGGAUGGUGGCCUUGCCGCGUCAUGGCAGAACGGCACAGAUUGCAUCACGUGGGAAGGGAUCACCUGCAACAUGGAUGGGACGGUUACUGAUGUCUUGCUCGCUUCCAAGGGUCUUCAGGGGUAUAUCUCACCCACUCUUGGCAGCCUCGCCGGAUUGUUGCGACUCAAUCUGUCAAACAACAUGCUGUCCAGUGGACUACCACAAGAAUUGGUGUCUUCCAACAGCAUCGUCGCCAUCGACAUCAGCUUCAACCGCCUAGAUGGAGAACUGCAUGGGGUGCCAUCUUCAACCCCAGUGCGUCCCUUGAAGGUACUGAACAUCUCCAGCAAUUUGUUUGCAGGACAGUUUCCAUCCUCCACAUGGGGGGGCAUGAAACACCUGGUCGCACUCAAUGCCAGCAACAACAGCUUUACUGGGCAACUACCAACUCAUUUCUGCACCAGCUUUCCAUCCUUGGUUGUGCUUGACCUCUCUUACAACCGAUUCAGAGGGAGUAUUCCACCUGAAUUAGGUAGCUGCUCCAUGCUCAGAGUGCUCAAGGUUGGCCACAACAACCUCAGCGGGACUCUCCCAGAUGAACUCGUUAAUGCUACCUCGUUGGAGUUCCUCUCUUUUCCCAGGAAUGGUUUACAAGGAAUACUUCAAGACACAUAUAUUGCCAAACUCACUUUUUUGGUUACCCUUGAUCUUGGAGAGAACAACUUCAGUGGCAACAUUCCGGAAUCUAUAGGCCAUCUCAAGAGAUUGGAGGAACUCUAUUUUUGA